GAUUGACGAGGGGAUGGAGUCCCCCUUGAACCGCCGCAGAGGCUGAUGACUCCUGUCGCGCA
rfam:Acetobacteraceae bacterium SCN 69-10 ABS99_C0172, whole genome shotgun sequence.